rnacentral:rRNA from 1 species
GACGAACGCUGGCGGCGUGCUUAACACAUGCAAGUCGAACGGAAAGGCCCUGCUUGCCGGGUGCUCGAGUGGCGAACGGGUGAGUAACACGUGGGUGAUCUGCCCCUUACUUUGGGAUAAGCCUGGGAAACUGGGUCUAAUACUGGAUAGGACCAUGCUGUAGGUGGUGUGGUGGAAAGAUUAGUUUCGGUAAGGGAUGAGCUCGCGGCCUAUCAGCUUGUUGGUGGGGUAAUGGCCUACCAAGGCGUCGACGGGUAGCCGGCCUGAGGGGGUGGACGGCCACAUUGGGACUGGGAUACGGCCCAGACUCCUACGGGAGGCAGCAGUGGGGAAUAUUGCACAAUGGGCGCAAGCCUGAUGCAGCGACGCCGCGUGGGGGAUGACGGCCUUCGGGUUGUAAACUCCUUUCAGCCAUGACGAAGCCCUUGUGGUGACGGUAGUGGUAGAAGAAGCACCGGCUAACUACGUG